rnacentral:tRNA from 1 species
GUGCUUGUAGCUUAACAGGAUAAAGCGGUAAACUACGAAUUUAUUGAUGGAAGUUCAAGUCUUUCCAAGCAUU